rnacentral:rRNA from 1 species
GCAGCCGCGGUAAUUCCAGCUCCAAUAGCGUAUAUUAAAGUUGUUGCAGUUAAAAAGCUCGUAGUUGAAUUUCGGGGUUAGUAGGUUGGUCGUACCACUGGUAUGUACCGGCUUUACUGAUUCCUCCUUCUUGAAGAACUGUAAUGCCAUUUAUUUGGUGCUGCAGGGAAUCAGGACUUGUUACUUUGAAAAAAUUAGAGUGUUUAAAGCAGGCUAACGCUUGAAUACAUUAGCAUGGAAUAAUAAAAUAGGACGUAGCGAUCCUAUUUUGUUGGUUUCUAGGAUUGACGUAAUGAUUAAUAGGGAUAGUUGGG